UUAUAGUUCAGUUGGUUAGAGCGUCAGAUUGUGGUUCUGAAUGUCGUGGGUUCGAGUCCCACUA
rnacentral:tRNA from 1 species